UGAUGUCAGGGUGCCAAUGCCUGAGAUGAUGGGGAAUCCAGGAUUCCUAGGUUUAUGGAUCUUGGGUAGCAGAUAGAAUACCCCUGGUCAGGGCUCUAGGGGUGUGUCUAUGCUAGGCCUGUGCUUCUUCAGGGAUUUUCUUGAGCAGAUAGUGCAGUGUCUUUUGGUACUCCACCGUUGGAUCAGAGGGUAAUGGCCUGUAGAAUGUGGAGUUAGAGAGCUGCCUAGUAGCCUCUUGUUCAUACUCCGACCUAUUCAUGAUAACGACAGCACCUCCUUUGUCAG